rnacentral:tRNA from 1 species
ACACUAAUGCCAGAGAUUAAUGGGUUGAUUUUAAGCGUCAAAUAGGAUACUUAUUGUCUUAGUGUU